GAACGAGGAUAUAUCCUUCGGGAUAUAAGCCGAGUGGCACAAGGGUGAGCAAUGCAUAGAUUACCUACCUUUAGGAUAAGGGCAACUUUGUGAAAACGGAGCUAAUACUUAAUAAUACAAAAGAAAAUAAUUUUCUUUUGUCAAAGGGAGGGUAGCAAUACCUUUCGCCUAGAGAGGGGUUUAUGUCCUAUCAGCUCGUUGGUGGGGUAAUAGCCUACCAAGGCGAAGACGGGUAGCCGGUUUAAGAGAAUGGACGGCCACACUGGGACUGAGACACUGCCCAGACUUCUACGGAAGGCUGCAGUCGAGAAUCUUUCGCAAUGCCCGAAAGGGUGACGAAGCGACGCCGCGUGGGUGAAGAAGGCCUUCGGGUUGUAAAGCCCUGUCAGGAGUUAUGAAAUGUAAGUGCGCUAAUAUCGUGCUUAUUUGACAAAGGCUCCAAAGGAAGCCACGGCUAACUCUGUGCCAGCAGCCGCGGUAAUACAGAGGUAGCGAGCGUUGUUCGGAAUUAUUGGGCGUAAAGAGCACGUAGGUGGGUUUGCAAGUCAGAUGUGAAAGCCUUCUGUUCAACGGAAGAAUUGCAUCUGAAACUGCUAAUCUUGAGUAUAGGAGGGGAGAAUGGAACUUCUGGUGGAGCGGUGAAAUGCGUAGAUAUCAGAAGGAACGCCGGCGGCGAAAGCGAUUUUCUGGCCUAUUACUGACACUCAGUGUGCGAAAGCUAGGGGAGCAAACGGGAUUAGAUACCCCGGUAGUCCUAGCCGUAAACGAUGGGCACUAAGUAGAGGGRAUUACCUAUAUUCUCUCUGCCGUAGCUAACGCAUUAAGUGCCCCGCCUGGGGAGUACGGCCGCAAGGCUAAAACUCAAAAGAAUUGACGGGGGCUCGCACAAGCGGUGGAGCAUGUGGCUUAAUUCGAUGCAACGCGAAAAACCUUACCGGGGCUUGACAUGAUAGAAGUAGGAACCUGAAAGGGGGACGAACGGUAUCCAGUCCGUAGCUAUUACAGGUGUUGCAUGGCUGUCGUCAGCUCGUGUCGUGAGACGUUGGGUUAAGUCCCCUAACGAGCGAAACCCUUGUUUUUAGUUACCAGCGGGUUAUGCCGGGUACUCUAGAAAGACUGCCGUCGUCAAGACGGAGGAAGGUGGGGAUGACGUCAAGUCAUCAUGGCCCUUAUGCCCCGGGCUGCACACGUGCUACAAUGGUCGGUACAGACGGAAGCGAAGCCGAGAGGUGAAGCGAAUCCUAAAAAGCCGAUCUCAGUUCGGAUUGGAGGCUGAAAUUCGCCUCCAUGAAGUUGGAAUCGCUAGUAAUCGCGGAUCAGCAAUGUCGCGGUGAAUAUGUUCCCGAGCCUUGUACACACCGCCCGUCAAGCCACCCAAGCAGGAUGCACCCGAAAACAUUAUAUCUAACCAGGGCAACUUGGAGGAAAAUGUUGAAGGAGUGUUUUGUGA
rnacentral:rRNA from 1 species